CAGUGUUUAAACAGCGAACAGACUUUAAGGAAUGAAAUGAAAGUGCUGCUCAUCUUAAGCAAGUGGCUGGAACAGGUGUACCCAAGCUCCGUGGAGGAAGAGGCAAAGCUGUUUUUGUGGUGGCACCAAGUCCUUCAGCUCUCCCUCAUUCAGACAGAGCAGAAUGACUCCGUCCUGACAGAAUCUGUCAUUCGAAUUCUGCUCUUGGUUCAGAGCAGGCAGAACCUCGUGGCUGAGGAGAGACUCAGCUCUGGGAUCUUGGGGGCAAUUGGGUUUGGCCGGAAGUCGCCUUUGUCUAACAGGUUCCGAGUGGUUGCCCGAAGCAUGGCUGCCUUCCUUUCAGUUCAGGUUCCUAUGGAAGAUCAGAUCCGUUUGAGGCCUGGCUCUGAAUUACAUCUGACCCCCAAAGCUCAGCAGGUCAGUAUAUACAAUGAAGGGUUAGAAGUUUGCCUGCACAUCUUCCCUAGGAGGCAGGGAGGUGGCAGCCGUAGCCUGUGCGCGUCAUGACAUGAUGCUCUGUGGUGGUAGCACAGUGUUCCCUUUCAUGUGCCCUACUUACGGGAAAAUGGUUUCACGUGCCAACCUCCAAAUUUUUGUAGGCAGUUGUCUAGAUCGCUGCUACUGUCAUUGUAGAAAA
rnacentral:sRNA from 1 species